UACGUAGGGGGCAAGCGUUAUCCGGAUUUACUGGGUGUAAAGGGAGCGUAGACGGUCCUGCAAGCCAGAUGUGAAAGCCCGGGGCUCAACCCCGGGACUGCAUUUGGAACUGUAAGGCUAGAGUGUCGGAGAGGCAGGCGGAAUUCCUAGCGUAGCGGUGAAAUGCGUAGAUAUUAGGAGGAACACCAGUGGCGAAGGCGGCCUGCUGGACGAUGACUGACGUUGAGGCUCGAAAGCGUGGGGAGCAAACAGG
rnacentral:rRNA from 1 species